CAUCCUACCCGUGUUAUUAUGGAACCCAUGCAACUUCUAGGCAAGACCCGCCCUUCAAUAGCUUUCAUACGCUACUAUUGGCCAGGCGUCCAUGCUUACGCAAGGUCAAUGUCAUUCAUAAUG